rnacentral:lncRNA from 1 species
UGCAGGCCAUUGUGGUGACUGGAGCCCUUGUACAAAACUCGAACCCGAAAUAAAACACUGUCAACAAAAAGGGAUCAAAGUUUUACUUUCGAUCGGAGGUGCAUCUGGAUCCUACUCCCUUAGCUCACCAGACGAUGCUAAAAAUGUUGCUGAUUACCUCUAUACUAACUUUCUUAGUGGUCAAUUUGGUCCACUUGGAAGUGUUACCUUAGAUGGUAUUGAUUUUGACAUUGAAGGAGGUAGCGAUCUUUACUGGGAUGACCUUGCUAGGAAUCUUGACAAUCUAAGACAACAAAACAGGUAAUGUUUUUUGAAUGAGAAGUUUUAGCAUGUUAAUACUAGUAGUUUGUCCGUCUCAUAUUAUGUAUUUUUAAGAUUAUGUCCAUUUCUUAAGAGCAUCAUUGAGUGUACAAAAUUUUAAGAUAAAAAUGAGUUUAAUUUCACAAAAAUAUUUUUAUUAAUGGUGGUUAGUAGUGGUUUGAAAUAAGGGGUAAAUAUGGCAACAAAGCCCAUAUAUGUGGGUACCCGUCUGUACCAAACUUAAAUUGACGGAUUUUCCCUGCUUUGAUUGGGUUUGAGUUUUCUUCGAUUUCAAAACACGAGUAUGAGACCGGUAAUGGACAUAUAAGUACCCACCCUUAACCCAUACCCAAACCCGUCUCGAAUGUAAAAAAAUCAAUUUAUUAUCCUUUUUAUAUAAAUAGAAACUCCAAACCUAAAUCAUUUCACUCACACUCUCAAUCUUUCAGACGACACUCACUUCUAUAAGUUCUUUCUCGUCUCCUUCCACAUUUCACACCCUGGGUCUCUCUCUUCCCCAUAACCUAGUCAUCGAUCAUCAUCAUUUCUUUGCUGAAUAAUGCAAUACAACAUUGAGCCUGAGGCUGAAAAAUACUUCUUUUUAUUAAAAAAUUUAUCCACUGCGGGGAUGAAGAUGGUACGGAGAUACACAAAUCGGUCGGGGAUGAGGAUGAGAUUCAAUUUCUCAUCCCUAUUGAGUAUGCGUAGGGUAACAGGUAAGUAUUUGAGACUAUGGUAUGAGAACGGGGAAGUUAAAAUUCUUCCCCACCUCGCCCCAUUGUCAUGCCUAAUAAGGGGUGCCAACUUAGUUUGGAUGUCUGGUAGUUUCUUUGAUGUUUUUAUGCUCUUAAUUUAGGAAACAAAUAGUGGUUUGAGAUAAAAUAAAGGCAAAAUUACACAAUUAGUCCCUUAACUUUAUUUUAGGUAACAUUUUCGUCCUUUAUCUUUUUUUUGUCACGAUUUAGUCCUUUAUGUUAUAAAAUGACAAUAUCUUAUCAUUUUUUAUGAGAUUUUUUUCAAAGAAAUUUGAUUUUCUAGACUUGUAUGAUGAAGAUUUACGUUUGCCUAAGAGUUUGAUGAUUUUUUUUUGGAGUUUUUGAUUAUUUUUUUCAUAAAAAAGGAUAACUAUGUUGUUAUUUUAUAACAUAUAGGACUAAAUCGUGACAAAAAAAAGAUAAAGGACGAAAGUGUUACCUAAAAUAAAGUUAAGGGACUAAUUGUAUAAUUUUGCCUAAAAUAAAUACAUAUGAUGAUUUGAUUUUUGAUAUGAUACGAUACGGAAAAUGUUAGAAAGUGCUCUUAUUAAGAAGUUUAAAGCGAAAAUUUUAUCUUGGUAAUUAUGUAUUUUGCACGUUGAUGGGAUAUAAAGCAACUUUUUAUAUAUAUAAAACUUAUCAAUUGUUUCCUUUUUUGUAUCAUUAAAAAGUGCCCUAAAAGCACUUCUUAGCUUGACUCGUAUAAUAUUUAUCAUAAAAGAAAAUAGCUUUCCAUUCAAUAUAUUUUUGAAUCCUUUUUUGCCUACACCCUAACUAAAAUCAACCUUUUAUCUCUUGCAGGUACUUUUACUUGGCAUCUGCACCCCAAUGUUUUAUGCCAGAUCACUACCUUGACAAAGCUAUCAAAACUGGCUUGUUUGAUUAUAUACUUGUUCAAUUCUACAAUAAUCCUCCAUGUCAAUAUGAUAUAAUAAACUCAGAUGCUACAUUGCUCUUACAAUCAUGGAAUGAUUGGACAUCUUUAGCUUUACCAAAUAAUACCGUUUUCAUGGGACUACCAGCAGCACCUGAUGCAGCUCCUUAUGGUGGUUAUAUACCACCAGAUGAUCUCAUUUCUAAGGUUCUUCCUUUCAUUAAACCAACUUCGAACUAUGGAGGAAUUAUGCUUUGGGAUAGAUUUCAUGAUGUUGGAAAUGAUUACAGCAAUCAGAUAAAGGAGUAUGUUAAACGAUCUGUUCUUCGAUUUGUGACACAAGUUUCUGAGGCAAUAGUUGGAUCUAUCUCGGCAGCUUUGAACUCCAUGUUUCCGAAUUAAAUCAUAUUAUAAAUUGAUAGUAAUCGCGUAGCUCACUAUAUAUAUAUAUAUGUAUGUGUAUGCAAUAAGACAAAACUCAGAUCCUCUACGACCAACUUUACGAUGGUUAUAGAUCGUUAGAUUAAGAAAAAAAAGUGAUCAGGAUCACUUAUUAUGCUUUGUACCUUUAUGCAUAAUAUGUACCUAGUUACACUUUGAUUCCCUCGGUUUUCAUGUAACCGGUGGGAAUCAAAACAUCUUAUGUAUGUACUGGAAGUCACUUUGAAAUUUGAAUAACAUUGUGCGUUUUCAACUUAAAUUCUAACCAGUCUAUGUAAUUCACAAAAGUGUAUAAGAACAACUAUAUUUUUGUAAGUUUUUUCGUAAAACAUUUUCUUAACAAAAUAUGUAAUAUAAUGUGAACUCGAGUAUAAAGUUUUUUAAUCUGAUGAAGCGUCACUACGUGGUUAUACUUAAUGGCAGUUUGAUUUUUAGGGCAACAAAGGAAACAAGGCAGUUGGUUGAAGGUAGUGAAAGGGAGUAGUAUGGACUUCUGUAAGCUUAUGUACAUUAGUUAAUUAGAAGCAACCAGGUUUUUUGUGAAGAUGAAUACCAUACAAAUUCCAUAGUCACCACCAAAAUUCAAAAGAUUCUAUGUUUGUCCUGAUGCAUGUAGAAAAGAUUUUAUGGCGGAAUGUAGCUAGGUCAUUGAUUGAUUUAGAUGGAUGCUUUCUCAAAGGAUGUUUUGGAGGGAAACAAUUGUCUGUUGUGGGACAAGAUGAAAAUAAUUGCAAUUUUGUCACUGCUUAUGCCAUUGUGGAUGUAGAAAAUGGGGAUAAUUGGAAGUGGUUUUUGAUACUAUUGCAUGAGGAGCUUGGAGACAACGUGCAGAACGGAAUUAAUUUUAUUUCAGACAUGCAAAAGGUAAUAAAAUACUGCAUGGAUUAUAUUCUAUUUUGACAACUUUCUAUUCUGUUAUUAUAUUCUGCAUGUAUGUUAUAAUUGCUCGUUUUAGGAUCAACUUGUUGGGAAAGUGACUCAAAAUUGGAGAAAUUGAGUUUGCUGAAGCUGUCAAAAUCGGAGCCCGAUUUGGAGAAAUGGAGAAAUCGGAGCACGAUUUUAUGUUGCAGAAUUGGCACUUUCAUUCGUAAAAAAUCGGAGCACGAUUUUGCGCAGAGUCAGAAAAAUAAAACGUAUUUUUGGGCCUGAUUUUGUUCCAAUUUAUGAGGGAUUCUUUUACUAUAAAUAUAGGCUUUGUAUCAGUAAUCCUUGAGAUAGAGGGGGCUCAAACGAGGGUUUAGAAAGACAACAACAAAACUAGGGUUUGUAUAGAGUUUGUCUCUUUGGCAACAAACACUUGGGUUUGAGGGUUGAUUCACUUUGGGAAACACUAUUAGGAUUGAGUCUCUUGGUUACGGGAAGAGAUUGAGGCUUUGGGUAGAAGGCGGGAGACUUAUUCUUGUAACCAUUGAUAUCUCUUUUGUAACGUUACUCAUCAUAUAGUGAAACGGAUGACUGCUCUCUCCCCCAUACUAGGUCAAUUUGGACUGAACUGGGUCAACAAAUUCUUUUGUGUUCUCUCUUCUUUUCUCUCGCUGUUUUCUACUUUUUGUUUGCGUUUAUAAUUGUUUCAUACACUGCGAUUUUGGUUGCUUGAUUAUCACUUGCUCCACACAUCAAGUUGUGAAAGUGACUCAAAAUUGGAGAAAUUGAAGUUUGCUGAAACUGUCAAAAUCGAAGCCCGAUUUGGAAAAAUCGGAACACGAUUUUUUGGAGAAGAAUUGACACUUUCAUUCGUAAAAAAUCUGAGCACGGUCUGGAAAAAUCGGAGCACGAUUUCGCGCAGAAGAAUAAAAAUAAAACGUAUUUAUAUGGGCCUGAUUUGGUUCCAAUUUAUGAGGGAUGCUUUUACUAUAAAUAUAAACAUUGUAUCAGUGUAAACCUUGAGAUAGAGGGGGCUGAAACAAGGGUUUAGAAAGAUAACAACAAAACUAGAGUUCGUAUAGAGUUUGCCUCUUUGGAAGAAACACUAGGGUUUGAGGGUUGAUUCACCUUGAGAAACACUAUUAAGAUUGAGUCUCUUGGUUACGGUAAGAGAUUGAGACUUUGGGUAGAAUUAGGCGGGAGACUUAUUUUUGUAACCCAUUGAUAUCUCUUUUGUAAGGUUACUCAUCAUUAUAGUGAAACGGGGGCUGCUCUCUCCCACAUACUAGGUCAAUUUGGACAAGACUGGGUCAACAAAUUCUUUUGUGUUCUCUCUUCCUUUCUCUCCCGUUGUUUUCUACUUUUGGCUUGUGUUUAAAAUUGUUCCAUACACUUUGUUUUGGUUGCUUGACUAUCCCUUGCUCCACACAUCAAGUUUGUUAUUGGUGUGAUUUUUUCAUCGAAUUCACAACAGGAUGCUUGAUUUAUGCAUCAACCCUACCUGUUAACAGACAUAAAUUUGAUUAUAGAGCUAAGAAAUGUGCUUUCUUAUGUUAGAAGUCUGGCAUUAAAGGUUUUGUUCUUGUUGAUGUCCAUACUUCUGAAGUCUUAGUUUCCAAAUUUGUGAAAUUUUUUUAACUGGAAUUUCCAUUUCAUUCUUCUAGUAUAACUUCAGUUCCCAAUACACAGAUUUAUCUUUGAUAGUCAAGUCAUUUAACCAAUGCCUGUUAGUUCUUCUCCUCCUAAUGUUGUGAGUUCUAAUGAAGACAAUGUUGAAGUUUUAAAUGAAGAUAAUAUUAGUGAUAAUGAAGAGAGGGAUAUUGAUAUUGUGCAUGUAUCUACCAGAAAGUCUUUUAGGGUUUCUCAGGCACCUUCUCACUUGCAAGACUAUAUCUGCAUCUCCAUAGGUGGUAACUAUCCUAUGCGUAAAUUCCUUAGUUAUUCAACUCUAUUUCCUAAACACCAGCUUAUGCAUACUAUUUGAACACUGAACUUGAGCCCACUAGUUUUUAUUCUGCUAGUAAAGACUCUAGAUGGAUAACUGCUAUGCAGACAGAGAUAGAAGCACUCAAUGCUAACAAUACUUGAGAAUUUGUUGAUCUUCCUUCAGAUGCAACAUCUAUAGGCAGUAAUGAGUGUAUAAAAUAAAAAGACAUGCAGAUGGCACUAUAGAACGUUUCAAAGCACCGUUGGUUGCACAAGGUUUUAACCAAGUCAAUGCACACGUGGACGCCACGUAUGUAAUUUUUUUUAAUUAAAAAAUUAAAAUAAAAAUUUAUAUUUUUUAAUUUAAAAAUAUAUAUUAAAAAAUAAAAAAAUAAAAAAUACAUACACACGUGGCGUCCACAUGUGCAUUGACUUGGUCAAAAUUGCCCUGGGGGGCCAAAACUGUAAAAAAAGUCAAUACUUUGGGGGCAAUUUUGUAGUUUAUUUAGUUAGGAGGCCAAAAUCGCAACUUCUUAAAACAUAGGGGGCCAAAACUACUAUUAAGCUUUUUAUAAUCCAUCUAACAAUAGUGUUUUUUUUUUUUUGGGUAAAUACCUCUUUUCGUCCCUGUAAUAUUAGCGAAUUCCGAUUUUAGUCCCUAUAAAAAAAAGAUUUAGAUUUUGUCUCUGUAAUUUAAGAUUCUUCCACUUUUGAUCCCUCAUUCCACCACGUCAGCAGAAUCUGCAUACAUGGUACCUAAAAUGAGGGAUCAAAAGUGGAGGAAUCUGAAAUUAAAGGAACCAAAAGUGGGAGGAAUCUGAAAUUACAAGGACGUAAUUGAUGCAGAUUUUGCUGACGUGAUGAAAAGAGGGACCAAAAGUGGAAGAAUCUGAAAUUACAGGGACAAAAUCUAAAGCAUUUUAUUUACAGUGACUAAAACCGAAAUUCGCUAAUAUUACAGGGACGAAAAGAGGUAUUUACCCUUUUUUUUUUUUUGGCUUAAUUGCACUUUUCCCCCCUAUAGUUUGCCAAUUGUGCGAUUUUGCACCCCAUAGUUUUAACGAGCGAUUUUGCCCCCUAUAGAUUUCCCCCUUUAUGAUUUUAUGGUCCCCAUGAUAUUUAGUGCUGGUUUUUUUAUCAAUUAAUGUGUGUCACGUGUGUAAUUCUAUUUUUUAAAAAAUAAAAAAAUGGUAUUUUUCAGAUUUUGAGAGAAGGAGGCACGUGAUUUUUCAGAUUUUAUCACGUGUCUCCUUCUCUCAAAAUCUGAAAAAUACCAUUUUUUUUAUUUUUUAAAAAAUGGAAUUACACACGUGGCACACAUUAAUUGAUAAAAACAGACAUAUCAGCACUAAAUGUCAUGGGACCAUAAAAUCAGAAAGGGGGAAAACUAUAGGGGGCAAAAUCGCUCGUUUAAAACUAUGGGGUGUAAAAUCGCACAAUUGGCAAACUAUAAAAGAAAAAAGUGCAAUUAAGCCUUUUUUUUUUUACCGUAUGAAAGUAAUGAAAAAUAGCUUGUUUGCCCUAAACUAAAAUCAGCAGCACCUAUACUAAGUUCACUAUAUUAUACUCUUUCUUUUUUCUUGACAACACCAUGUUUUAUUAAAACAGCCCUGUGCCAGAAAUAACUAAAGGGCAAUAUAUCAACAGAGAACAAAAGCCAAAGGCCAACAUUAGUAGGAAAACCUCAUCCUAUGUUAUACCUACAGAUACAAUAGUGAAAUCAGAGCUUACAAAAUCAGAUAUCACUUAGAUAAACUAGCUACUAUAAGUCUUAAAUAUCUCUCAUUCGCUGUAAUUACUAUACAUAUAAGUUUAGUCAGCUUAAUAUAUAUUAAUAAAUUACAUUCCUAAAUUUCAUUAUCUCUAAAAUCAAUAUCUUUUUCCUUAAAGCAUACAAACAGCAUAUAAAUACUUAACUGACUUCUAAUUCAAUGUCUAAUUUUGAGUUGUAUGGGAAAGUGUCCUUACCUUAAGUGCUCUCCUUCCUAAUAUAUAGAGAAUUCUACCCAAUUGCCGGAACACGACUUCAAGAAUUAUUCUUCACUCAGGAGAGUACAAAUGGAAGAACAAAAGGGUGACUUUAUUUAGAAUGAAAUUAAAGGAUUGAAGAAAGAAUAGAAGAACAGACAAUGAAAUGACCCUUACCUCAAGACUUGAAUGGCAUGAAGCAUUUAUAUAAUAAAUGGGAGAGUUCAAUUGAGAAAAUGGUGGCUUGUAGUUUCAAUUUUUGGCAGGUAAAUGUUUUCAAUUUUGUGAGAUUAGAAAAUUUGGCUGAGUAUUGUAGGUGAGGUGUAUUUCUGUACUGGAAAUUGGAAAUAUGAAGUGGUGGUAGUUGAGAAGAAAUAGGAACAUGUGACAUAAAAGUUGAGACUUGAGAGGAGUGGGGGGUAGGGUAGGGAAUAGGUCAGAUCGGCCUACAAGGGUCUAUGGUCUGACAUGUUUAAGCCUGAUCUGACCUGUUUAUUAAAAAGGUUAGGCUUAGACUUUUUAAAAAGCCUAUUUAAGUAAAUAGGUCAGGCUUAGGCUAUCAAAAAAGCCUAUGAAACCUAGUAGGCCGGCCUGUUUAUGCAUGUUAGGCUUCAUAGUGGACUUUUUAAAUAGGCUUUAAAGCUUUAUAGUGAAAUAGGCUUUUAAGGUCUUAUAGUAGUGAUAGACAAGUCUUACACUGAAAUAGGUUUUGAGGUCUAUUAAGCCUAUUUAAAAAUAGAUAAAAUGGUAUGUUUAGUAACUUUAAGAGUAAGUAGGCCUGUAAAUAGACUUUCAGGUCAGGCCAGACCAGGCCAAAAAAAUAGGCCUAUGAAAGGCCAUAGACCAAGCUCAGGCCUGCAAUUUUUUUGUAGGCCAGACUCAGGCCUAUCAAAGUCUGACCUGGCCUGGCCUAUUCCCAACCUUAGUGGGGAGUUAUUUGACCAAGCACACAUGCAGAGAAGUUAUAAAAUUUAAAGUCUUGCACACGUCCAACCCUUCCACUAAUUCCUUAAUUAGUUUCCUAUUAUCAUUAUUUUUAUUUACAUCAUUUGUUUGGUCUGGCAUAUGGCAUUCUUUCAUCCCUAAUCUAGCACACUUGCAACUUCCCUUAUGUGUCAUCAUUAUCACAUAGAAUUCUACACAAUUCUCAUUGUAACCGGUUCUCCUAACUAAUGCUAAAUAAUUUAUCUAUUAGUCAUAGUAAUCUAACCAUACCAUAUUGUUCUAAAUAAAAUAAAUGCAUUCAAUAAGUAAAACAACUUACUAAAUCAAAGGCGUCAACACAAAUUAGUAGAAGAUUAUCCUAUUAAAUCAUACCAAAAUUACCAAUCAAUGCAGCUAACGAGAUAAAUAAUUAGAAUAGAUUAAACUAGUUACUCUAAUUUAUUUAAUUAAAAUAAAUAAAUAAUAGAGAGUGUUACAAUACUAACCCUCUAAAAAGAGUUUCGUCACUGAAACUAGUCAUCUAAGAAUAAGGUAGGAUGAAGCUCCCUCAUCUUAUCUUCUCGUUCCCAUGUAGUAUCUCCAGUUGCUUGAUUCCAAAUUACCUUGACUAGACGAAUCUCCUUACCCCGCAAGUACUUCACGCUCCUAUCACCAAUACUCAUUGGAGGAACCUCAAAAGAAAGGUUUUCCUUCAACUGGAUGUCGUCAGGUGCGAUAACAUGAGAACUAUCAGCCAUGUACCUUCUCAGCUGCGACACAUGAAACACAUCAUGAAGACCUGUCAAAUUUGGAGGUAAGGCAAUCUGAUAUGCUAGUGAUCCCACACGUCGAAGAAUCUGAUAUGGCCCAAUAAACUUUGGAGUAAGCUUAUUGGACUUCAAUGCUCUACCCACUCCAGUAGUGGGUGUCACCCUUAGAAACACAUUAUCACCUUCCUGGAAUUCCAAAGGCUUCCUCCGUCGAUUUGCAUAACUCUUCCAUCUUUUAUGGGACGUCUUCAUUUGUUCAUCGAUUAACCUAACCUUUCAGUCGUCUGUUGUACCAACUCAGGUCCUACUAACAUGCUCUCACACCGUCCUUGUACCAACAUAAUGGUGUCUAACAUUUACGCCCAUACAGAGCCUCGUAUGGCGCCAUUCCAAGGCUCGCAUGGUAAUUGUUAUUGUAGGUAAAUUCAAUAAGUGGUAACAAAUUGUCCUAGCUUCCCCGAUCGUCCAAGACACAUGCCCUUAACAUGUCCUCUAAUGUCUGAAUAGUCCUCUCGGUUUGUCCGCCUGUCUGUGGAUGGCAGGCAGAACUUAAUCUCAACUCAGUACCCAAAGCUUUCUGCAACGCUCCCCAAAAGUGAGAAGUAAACUUUGGAUCCCUAUCUAACACAAUGAUAGCCGGUACUCCAUGGAGUCUGACAAUUUCUCCAACAUAAAUCUCAGCAAGCUUAGCCACAUUGUAGUUAGUUCGUAGUGGUAUAAAGUGAGCUGAUCGUCAACUUGUCCACGAUCAUCCAUAUAGAGUCAAACUUCCUCUGAGUUUUUGGUAGGGCAACAACAAAGUCCAUGGAAAUGCUUUCCCACUUCCAUAGAAUAGAUUAAACUAGUUGCUCUAAUUUAUUUAAUUAAAAUAAAUAAAUAAUAGUGUGACAUAUACAUCUAUUAAAGAAUAGGCUAACAAGGAUAGCGCACGAGCUCUUCUUCUCAUCGUAGUCUUCUUGUUAUUACUUGAGUUUAUAUUAGAUUUAGAAGUUGAAUGAAAAUAAUUUCAAUUAUGAUACUCUUAUGUUGUCAUUUUUAGUUACUUUAUAUUAGAAAUCGUGGUUGGGCCUAACACAAUCCCACAAAACCGACUUGUGAGAUGAUGAUUGCCCCCACUUAUAAACAGAUUGUCAGGCUAACUCCUAACCGAUGUGGGACUCUUAACACACCCCUUCACGCUCAGUAUUGCACAUAAUUUGAAGUGUGAACAUAAAUGACGGGUGGCCCGGUAACAGAAACCUAAUAACAGGUGGCCUAAAGAAUCGUGAAGAGACUCUGAUAUCAUAUUAGAAAUCGUGGUUGGGUCUAGCACAACCCCACAAAACCGGCUUGUGAGGUGAGGAUUGCCCUCACUUAUAAACAAAUUGUCAGGUCAACUCCUAACCGAUGUGAGACUCUUAACACUUUAUAAUAUCACAUGCUUGUAAGACUUGGCAUUAAUUUUUAAUAUAAUUGAAGUUUGAUUUCAUUGUUUCAUAAAUUCAUUGUAUUUAUUUUUUUAAUGAAAUUUUGUACAUGGCUGCCCCUUUUUAACCAGCUUCUUUUUAAUCCCUGUGAUUUAGAAACUAGGGCAUUUACAUGACAGGAGGGCAUUGCCAUUAUUAUUUUUUUUAAAAAGUAUUAAAAAAAUAUUCUUAUUUUUAACCAGCUUCUUCUUAAUUCUAAUAACGUGUAGUUCUUUGAUUGGUUGUUCUAACUUCGAAGAGUGAUUAGUGGGAUUUGCACCAAUAGAAAUUUUCUCUCACGUGAGAUCCCUAUCUUUGAGUCACUAAUAUAGAGACAACAUUUUUUGGUAGUGACUAAUAUAGAGACAGCUAUAUUAGUAACAUGCAGUAGUAGUUUAUGAUUUUCUUUUCUUUUUGAAAAACAAAUAGUAAUAAUUUAUGAUCCGCGUUUUACACGAUGAUUUUGUGAUUUAAAAAAGAGUAAGUUGUUCAUUAGUUCUAGUUCAAUAUGUAGAAAUGUUGAAACUGUUAGAUCAUAUAUAUAUUGAUUUUUUUUUUUUUUUUUUUAUCAAGGUUAGAUCAUAUAUUUCUGCUGCAUAAAGAUUAACUUAUACCUACGGCUGUUUUUUGUUAUGAUAUACCUACGGAUUUGUUCCAUCGCUAUAUCCUAUAGUGAUGGAACUUUGGCUCUUGCACAAAACAUUUUGGUUUUAACUAAGGAUUUUGGCCGUAGGUACUGAGCUUAUUGAGAUAUGAUAAAAUGUUUUACCUACUGUGGCUUUAGGUAAAGAACUUAUUAGGAACUGAUAAAAUGUCUUACCUACGGCCUUAUGAAAUCAAUAGUAACCGGUCCAGAUUUGCUUUAUUAUCAUUUUUUUUUCUUCUAAAAAUGAUGUGGACUCUGUCAUUACAAUUGGUGGUGAUGGAAUUCUUUAGAAAAGUUCAGAUCCUACAUAUAUUUGAGUUUUAUAUGCAUGUAGUCUUGGUUUGAUUUUGAUGUAUUGAAUUUGCUAUAUCGACAGCUUAUGUGAUCUUUUGGAUUAUGCCAAUUUUAGUUUCACUUUCCUUUUAAGAUGUAAAGUUUGACCAAAAGUUGUAGUAUAAUUAAAGGGCUAAAUUUCAUUUUCGGUCCCUUAAUUAUUUAGGUAGUAUCGCUUUGGUCCCUUAAUUAAAAUUCGAUUUAUUUUGGUCCCUUAACUUCUCCUUGUUACACAUUUUGGUCUUUUCCGUUAGUUUUAAUUCAAAAACGUUAGGUUUUCUUCAUUUUCUUCUGAGAUUUUUGUUGUUGAAGGUUGAUGGAGAUGAUAUGAAAAUGAAAAAUAAGAGAAGAAGAUGAAGAAAACCUAACGUAUUUUUAAUUAAAACUAACGGAAAUAACUAAAAUGUAUAACAGAGAGAAGUUAAGAGACCAAAAUAAAUCAAAUUUUAAUUAAGGGACCAAACCAAUACUACCUAAAUAGUUAAGGGACCAAAAAUGCAAUUUAGCCUAUAAUUUUUGUCAAGGUAGUAAUCUGGCAUAGGACAAGCUCCUGAUGCAAUAGUGUCAAAAACCACUUCCAAUUAUACCUAUUUUCUACAUCCACAAUGGCAUAAACAAUGACAAAAUUGCAUUAUUUUAAUCUUGUACCACAACAGACAAUGGUUUCCUUCCAAAAUAUCCAUUCAGAAAACAUCCAUCUAAACCAAUCAACGACCUACAUCCCGCCAUAAAACCUUUUCUACAUGCAUUAGGACAAACAUAAAUUUUUUUGAAUUUUGGUGGGGACUAUGGAAUUUGUAUUGUAUUCAUCUUCACGAAAGAAGCUUAUUGCUUCUAAUUAACUUAUGCACAUAAGCUUGCAGAAGUCCAUACUACUCCCUUUUACUACCUUCAAACAACUGCCAUGUUUCCUUUGUUGCCCUAAAAAUCAAACAACCAUCAAGUAUAUGUUGGAACAAAAUGUGUUUCACAAUGAACCUUAUUAAGUUUUGAUUUUAACAUGGGAUUAAAAAUUGUCAAUUGGUUAUUACUAAUAAUUGUUCAAGUGUACAGGACCAAAAGCUACUCAAGUUAUUUCAAUAGGUCUUGGAAGAACAAUGGAAAGAAAAAGAAAUUUUGAGCAUCUGAGGAAAACUGCUCCUGAAGCUGAAGUGCUUCUGAAGUGAUGACGUCAUCAGAAGCAGAAGGUCAUCAGAAGCAAAAGUUUUCAUCAGAAGCAAUAUCUUCACCAGAAGCUACGUUUGAUCCUUUAAUCAAACUAAAGAUUCAAAGUAGCUGAUUCUCAAUUCAGUCUUAUCCAAGAAGAACGAAGAAUUGAAAGGGAGGUAUCAACGGAUAUAUGGAUAGCACUGAGCACUUGUCUCUCGUUAAUAGAGUUGACAAAGUACAAGUGUACAACCACUACCUCCACUACUCUGUUUUCUGUCUACGCUACAAGACAAAACAACAGCCAUGCCUGCAGAAUUUGUACGUUCAAGAUGGGAAUGAAUUUGAAGCUUAUUCUUCAAAGGACUACACCCAAAUCAGGCAAAGGAUCACUGGUGGAUAAUCAAAGGAUUUCAAACGACUCUUUAGACGUGCUGAUUAUCUCAACGUCUCUUUCACGCCUCUAUAUAAAGGAGUGAAGACUUGAAGAUUGGAGACAGAGAUACAUAAGUUCAAAAGCGCCAAAACUCUGUCAAUUUGAUUCUACAAAGCACACUGAAUUUCUGCACUGAUUUGAUACAUCUUAGAAAUUCAAAGUCUAGAGUCUUUACUGUAUUGUAUUGUGAACAUCACUGAUUGUAUAUCAAGUGUUCAACUCAAACUCAAUUCUCUGUAUUUUUGUUUGAUUAGAAGUCUCUUGCCUGCGUGCUUGAGCAUUAGAAGUCUCUUGCUUAGUGCUUGAGCAUUGGAAGACUCUUGCGUGUGUGCUUGAGCAUUUUUGUGAAGUCUCAUACUUAGAAAAUAUUGAGCAGUUGUAAUCUUUGUGAUUAUAGUGAAAUCUCCUUGGAAGUGCAAGGGGGACUGGACUACUUCCGUGUUGUGGAAGGAACCAGGAUAACUGCUUGUGUCUUUGUCUUUCUUUUCUCUGCUCUGUUCUUUUCCGCUGCAAUCUGACUCUGACAUUUCAUCAGAAGCAAUCAAACUGCUUCUGAAGUUUUAUCAGAAGAAGUAUUUUUUAAGAGAAAAAGAAAACACAAUUCAACCCCCCCUUCUUGUGUUUUUCACCUUCAGUAUAACCCCGUACUGAUGUUUCAUCAGAUUAAAAAAAUUUACUCGAGUUCACAUUAUAAUACAUAUUUUGUUAAGAAAAUAUUUUACGAAAAAACUUACAAAAAUAUAUAGCUGUGUUUAUAUGUAGCUCAUACACUUUUGUGAAUUACAUAGACUAGUUAGAAUUUAGGCUUAAUACAUGCUUUGGUCCCUUAAUUUAUUUUUGAAUUUCGUUUUGGUCCCUUAACUUUAAACCGUCUCAAUUUGGUCCAAUAACUUUGCCUCCGUUUACCUAAAUGGUCCCUUCUGUUAGUUUUUUUAACAGAAGGGACCACUUAGGUAAACGGAGACAAAGUUAUGGGACCAAAUUGAGACGGUUUAAAGUUAAGGGAUCAAAAUGAAAUUCAAAAAUAAGUUAAGGGACCAAAUCAUGUAUUAGGCCUUUUUUUUAUAUAAUAAUUAAGAAGCAAAUGAUUUGUUAUAUACUAUGUAACAUAUAACACUUCAUAUUGAAAGGUUGUUCAGUUUCCAACAAAUCAAAACAUAUGUUUCUAUUCAAUAAAUUAAUUUUUUUCUUGAGUUAUUAAUCGUGUUGAUAUGUGUCCGCAUCAAUAUUUUGUGUCUAUGUUAGUGUUUCAUAGAUUGUAUUAUAUGUACAUGCAGACCCUGAAGCAAAAGUGAUAUCUUUAUCACCAAAAGCAUUGAUGGCAACAAACAGAUUCGUGUGUGAAAUUUGUCUAAAGGAUUUUCAAAGGGAUCAAAAUCUUCAACUUCAUCGACGUGGAUAUAACCUACCUUGGAAGUAUAUUAAAAUUUCAAAGGGAUCAAAGGAUUUUCUUUAUCUCUAAUUACUUAUUCUUAUCAUAAGUAUAUUAAAAUUUCAAAGCUAAUUAAUUAUCACAGUAAAAAGAAAAUCAGAAAUAAGUUCAAAAUUACAACAUUUAUUAACAUUUAUUUUUGAAUUUCAUUUUGAUCCUUUAACGUUAAACUGUCUCAAUUUGGUCCCAAAGGGACCACUUAGGUAAACAAAGGUAAAGUUAUGGGACCAAAUUGAGACAGUUUAACGUUAAGGGACCAAAAUGAAAUUCAAAAAUAAGUUAAGGGACCAAAGCAUGUAUUAAGCCUAGAAUUUUAAGUUGAAAACGCGCAAUUCAAUUUUAUUCAAAUUUCAAAGUGACUUCCAGUACAUACAUAAGUUAAGAUGCUUUGAUUCCCAAGGGUUACAUGAAACCAGAGGGAAUCAAAGUGUAACAGGUACAUAAUAAGCAUAAAGGUACUUACAUAAUAAGUGAUCCUGCUCAUUUUUCUUUCUUAAUCUAACGAUCUAUAACCAUCGUAAAGUUGGUCGUACAGGAUCUGAGUUUUGUCUUAUUCCAUACUCAUACAUAUAUAGUAAACUACGCGUAUAAUAUGAUUUAAUUCGGAAACAUGGAGUUCAAAGAUGCUGAGAUAGAUCCAACUAUUGCCUCGGAAACUUUUGUCACAAAUCGAAGAACAGGUCGUUUAACAUACUUCUUUAUCUGAUUGCUGUAAUCAUUUCCAACAUCAUGAAAUCUAUCCCAAAGCAUAACUCCUCCAUAGUUUGAAGUCUGUUUAAUGAUAGGAAGAACCUUAGAAAUGAGAUCAUUUGGUGGUAUAUAACCAUUACCAGCUGCAUCAGGUGAUGCUGGUAGUCCCAUGAAAACGGUAUUAUUUGGUAGAACUGAAGAUGUCCAAUCAUUCCAUGAUUUUAAGAGGUCUGUAGCAUCCCCAUUUGCUUGAUUAUAUUGACAUGAAGGGUUAUUGUAGAAUUGAACAAGUACAUAAUCAAACAAGCCAGUUUUAAUAGCUUUGUCAAGGUAGUGAUCUGGCCUAGGACAUUGGGGUGCCGCAGACAAGUAAAAGUAACUGCAAGAGAUAAAAGGUUGACUUGUUAGUUAGGAUGUAAGCAAAACGAAUUCAAAAUAAUAGGGAGCUAAUUUUUUAAUGAUAAAUAUUAUAUGAGUCAGGCGAACAAAGUUCUUAGGACACUUUUUAAGGAUUCAAAAAAGAAAACAAUGAUAAAGUUUAUAUAUAAAAUGUUGCUUUUUAUUUCGUCAAUGUGUAGAAAACAUAUAGAACACUUGUUAGCAUUUUUUGUAUCAUAUAAAAUCAAAUCAUCAUAAAUUUUGAAAAGAAGUAUACUAUAGACGAGAUUAGGGUGUGUCUGAUUUGGAAAAUAGUAAGUAUAAACAGAACAAUAUAUAACAUGACAUAACACUAUAACAUGUAAGAAGUAUUUUUUACUUCAUAUUAAGUUUCACAUAUGCAAUAAUUUUAAAAUACUAGUUAAGCAUUACUUACCUUGUUUUUUUUUUCACUAAUAGGAUUAUAUAUGUAUUCCUUUCAAAAAAUAAGAGUAUAUAUGUAUUUAUUCUAUCAUUCCUUAAAAAAAAAAAUGUAUUUAUUGUAUCUCAAAUCACUUUCUUUUUUUACUAAAUUAAGAGCAUAAAGAAAUCAAAGAGAAUUGAAGACAUCAUCAACUAAAUUGGCACCCCUUAUUUCAAACCACUAACUACUCUAUUAAUAACCACUAUUAAUAAAACAAAACUAAUAAAAUUAAGCUCAUUUUAUCUUAUUUUGUACAUUCAAUGAUUCUCUUAAGAAAUGUUCUACUUCUACUAGGAGUAUAGUUUAUGAAUCUCUUUUUAUAAAAGUGGGAUGGGAUGAUGUGGUCAACUUUUUCUUCAUUUUUUUUUUAAUAUUUAUUUUUACAUAUAUUUUUAGUUUUAUAGUUUCAAGUUGUACUACAAGUACUAUCAUGCUAAAACUUGUCAUUCAAAAAAUAUACCUGUUUUGUUGUCUUAGGUUGUCAAGUUCCCUAGCAAGGUCAUCCCAGUAAAGAUUUGUACCUCCUUCAAUGUCAAAAUCAAUUCCAUCUAAGGUAACACUUCCAAGUGGACCGGAUUGACCACUAAGGAACUUAGCAUUUAGAUAAUCAGCAACAUUUUUAGCAUCCUCUGGUGAGCUAAGGGAGUAAGAUCCAAUUGCACCUCCAAGGGAAAGUAAAACUUUGACACCUUUUUGUUGACAAUGUUUUAUUUCGGGUUCGAGUUUUGUGCAAGGGCUCCAGUCACCACAAUGACCUGCAAAGUUCCAACUUGGGACUCUUCCUCCUCCAAAGACAUUGAGGAAAGCUAAGAGUACAAUCUCGUAAUUACCUGUGUCACAUGUUGAUGUCAAGGUGCCAUCUCCUAGGUUUUGGCCCCAGUAGAUGGCAAUGCCACCACUUGAAGAUGCUUUGAUAGUGAAGGGAAAUAUUGUUAAGACUAACAGAAGUAGCAAUGCUUGCCUUUUUGUAUCCAUUUUGUGCUUUUUGUGUUUAGCUAGUUUGAUUACUGUAGAUCGAUUGAGCAACCCUUUUAUAAGGUCUCUGAUAAGGUUAUCUACAUUUAUUUUAUUCUAAUGGUAAAUAAAAACUAUUGGUAAAUAUUGAGUAACUUAGCAUCCAGCCCAACAAAAUAGACUUUUUGGGACACGUUUUUUUCGAUUUUUUUUUAAUUGUCCCAAUAUAUACCACAUUGUAUGGACCACUGCUUCCUUCUUAUUUGAAAAUUGCUCUUCUCUCGUACAAAAUUGUUCACUUCUACAUGAACCGACUAAAAUACCUUCAACGUAAGUUAAUCACGUUUGGUAUAACCGAUGUGAGUUAACGCACGUUAGUGUAUAACCUACGUGAUUUAACUCACAUCAAAUUAAAUCACAUUCCGAACACCAACGUGAGUUAUUUUUAGGAUAGGGGGGUUGCAAUUACAAUACUCACCUUACACAUCAUAUAUGCACCAACCACUUGAGCAAAGAGAUUAUAAAAUAAUAAGUAAAAAUCAAUUUGUUCACCAUUGAUAUAUUUUAUAAUCUGAUUGUUCUCUUGAUGUAACUGUUGUUGGAGAAUUUUUUAAAAUAUAUAUUUGAAAAGUUGAAAUGAUUAAAUAAAGAUGUUCAACAAAGGGUGUAAUCUUUCAUUGAAAUAAUGUAACUAUUGUGUCUAUUGAUUAACAAUAUAGGUAUAUAAUUUCUUGUAAUAAGCAAUAUAAAAACUCUUUAAAAUAGUUGUUUCUCUUCGACGAAAAACAUAAAUUUCUCUAUAAGUAGAGAAACUUUGGAGGCAAGAAAAUAGAUACAAAAUCUCAUUCUUGUGACUCAAAAUUUUGUCAAAAAUAAUAUUAAAUGAUUUCUUCAUUUCUCUAGAGCACGAGAGUAAAAGAUGAAACUUUAUUCUAUUAACUAUAGGUGUACUUUUGAGUUUUUUUAGUGAAAAAUCAUGUAAAUUGGCAAAAUAAGACAUCACAUGAAAGAUCAAGGAUAUGAAGAAUGAAAAUCGGUGGUUCUUAGAAUUUUUUUGAAGACAGUACAAGUUGGGGAAAAUUCAUCCCAAGUUCCAAGACAUUUCAUGGCGGAAAAACGCUCGAAAAAGGGACAAAAACUGCAAAAUUUGCACUAGAGUUACUGCCUCAGGCGCCCCUGUGUGUCACUUUAUGCGUGCUGCGCAUGGUUGCAGGAAAAAUGCUAUUUUGCUUGUUUUCCUUGUUGUAUCGGUGGUAAAAAAAUCCAAUUUUCAUUUCUUAAACCUUAAGUAAUGAUGCACUAUAAAUAUAGACUUUUGCACACACUUUUAUUCAUUCAGAAGUUAGUGGUACAAGGCAAGGGUCAGGCAUUAGAGGUUCAAGGCAGAUGUAACACCCAUACUAAAUUGUCUAGAAUAUUUAGCAUGCGUAUUAAACUUACUACUGGAUACAUUAAAAUUACAACAAGAUUUGUUCGAAUGAAUACAAGCAUCAUUACAAGUUCGUACAUCUGAUAAAUUUAACAUCUAUAAAAUACAUAUAUCUGAUACAUAUUUGAAAUACAUAAGAAUUUAUCUAUGGCUGGUACAAAACAUGUAUAUGAUGGUAAAUCAUUCAGCUUCAUGUCUGCCUUUUCUUACAACGAUCAUCUGAAAGAAAAAACAGAGGGACUGGGGUGAGACAUGAUGUCUCAGUGAGUUCCACCUAUUCUAGGUUAUAUGCAAUCUCGGGGAACCUAUGAUCGUCAUUCGUCUAUACAUAUACCUAAUUUUAUGAUUUACUGUUAUGUUCUGCAUAUCAUAGCGAUCGGGGGAAAUCUAAGAUCGCUAACUGUAUAUUAUCAUAAGUCUUGUCAUAUUUAUAUCAUAUUUCAUAAAUUAUUAUGUUAAAAGGUUAGCGUAGAACAAACAAUAUUAUCCGAGUUCAUUUUACGGCAUGCACCGGGUGGAGUAACCCCAGCCACAUACCACUGUUGACCGGUGAAAAUUCCUAUCGUAUCAGGCUAACACCAAACUCAUCUUGUCAUCGUGCGGGCCAUCCUUAUUGAAAGUAUCCCAUCCCAUUGGCAUGAAUCUUCGUGUCCCACUAGCAUGAAUCUUCAUUAUUAAUGUUGUAUGGAUUUUCUAUCUGAGAAAAUCCCACCAGCCUAACCUGGGUCUGCGAUGGGAUACAACAAGCCUGAAUAAUUAAUAUACAUAUAUAUUUUGUUGUGUAUGUCUUCAACUUUGUGAAGUUGAGAAUGUUGGAAUCGUGACACGAUUUUGGCAUCGUCGCACGAUUUUCAAGGCAGUGAGCAUGGUUUUCAGGGUGUCCAAUCGUGACAUAAUUUUGGGAAAACGUGACACGAUUUUUUACUUGCUGGGCAAGUUUUUGAGGAUAAGGUUGGUCGUGCAAGAAUAAACUCAAUAUCACAUAAAUUGCUAGAAUCAUAUAUUUAAAGAACAAAAGAUUACAUUCUAAGCUUAAUCAAGUACCUCUAAUCCCAACAAAGGAGAUUUAGCUGAUCAUUGUCAUGAUAACAUUACAAAAGUGGAAGAAAAGAUGAAGAUCCGUGCCAAGAGCUUGAUUUCUCAAAGGUUCUUGAUGAAUCCACACUCAAUCACUCUUGCCCUAUGAAGAACAGUAUUUAUCGCCCUAUUCUCUCUCUAAAGUAAUGAUAAGAUAUGUUCUAAAAUGAGGGAAUGAGCUUUUAUACUUCUGCAUAAUUUUGCUUUCUCGCCAGGUAGGAUUUGCUCGCUGUGGCGAACUGAGCUUUCUUUUCGAGUGGGUUUCUACCACGUCAUCCUUCAGUGUUCCAAAAUCGCCAUAGCUCGCCAGGAAGGAAUUUCUCGCCAUGGCGAACUCUGAUCUUCAAAAACAUGGUCUCUAGAACUCAUUUGCACCCUCUUGCUCGCCCUUCCCUCGCUAUGGCGACAUCUCGGUCUCUGGUUCGCUAUGGCGAGCUAUGGUGUGAGCAUGAUGGUGACAUUCUGGAAUCCAUUCCCGCUAUGGCGAAAGAUCUCGCGAUGGCAAUUUGGCCUUUGCACUUCUUUUUGGUUUUCUUUCUCUGAUUAUUUCCUUGUUCAUUCUAUUCCUGCACAAUUGGGUAAAGUAAGACAUAGAAAGUAUAAAAAUACAUUUUAUCACCUUUUCAUGGUUUUUCCUUGGAUAACUUGUGAAACAAGUAACCAAAAGUACUUGAUAUAUAUCAUGAAAUUAACACUUUCUAGCACUUAUCACCCAACACUUACUAAUUAAGGAGGCAUACAACAUCAAUUAAUUCUUGGUCUGAACAAAGUGGCUUAAAGGGUACCAUUACAUACAAAGCUUGAUUGUACUUGAAAAUGGAAGAGAGUGAAGUUUGAGUUAUGGUGGGGAAUGAUUCCCUCCAUGGAGAGAUGAGGAAAGAACUUCUGCCAUAUCGUUUGCUUCUUUUUAGCUUAAAUGGAAGGUUUGAUGAAAUGGGUUAUGUUGUGAAUUCGGACAAAAUCACACCAAUGAAUAACAAAAAUGUGUGGAGAAAAGGAAGUGGUAAUCAAUGGAUAAAAUGUCUCCAACCAACAACAACAAAAACAUACCUAGAUCUAAGUGUAGAGCAACACCACAAGCAUAAUCAAAGCAAUAAAGAUAAUCAAUGAAAGAAAGGAACAAUCACACCAAGAUUGUUGACCCAGUUCAGUCGAAUAUGACCUAAUCUGGGGGAGAGAGCAACCCUCCAAUCCACUAUGAUGAAAGUGUUACAAAAGAGUUACAAGAAAUUAGCUUAUAAGCUUACACAAGAACAAGACAUAAUUUCUACCUAUUUUAUGUCAUCCACACUCUCAAUAAUGAAUCCUAAGAGAAAACACAAAAGGAAGCUUUUUGAUCCUUCUAUUUGUGAAAUCUCACUACCCAAGGUGUUUACAAUGUUUCCCAACCCAAGAGAUCUUCACUACAAAGACACUCAACCCUAAAGUUACCUCCUUUGUAAUCCAAGUUCUGUCUCUUCAAGCUCUUCUUCAAAAUUUGCACAAGAACACUUAUAUAGCAGUCUUUAGCUGUCAAACACGAUUGGUGCGUACGACCCAAGGUACGACCAACCUUAUCCUGAAAACGUACCCAGCAAGUUUGAAAAUCGUGUCACAUUUUCCCAAAAUCGUGACAUGAUUGAGCACCCUAAAAAACCAUGCUCACUGCCUGAAAAUCGUGACACGAUGAUGAAAUCAUGUCACGAUUUCUCUAUUCUUCCAAACCAUAACCACAAAUUUGAAGCCAAUUAACAACAUGUUAGCUUGAAAUGUGACGAAUUACUAAUGGUGACAAUUUGAAAUGUUGGGUUUUGGGAGAGAUUGGCCUUCGGCCAAGAGGAAAAAGAUGAGAGGAAAACCUUUUUUUUUUCUUUUUCCCCUAACUAUCCAAUAUGCCUUAUAUAAUAUCCUCUUUUUUUUUACCAUUCUACCUUUGCCUAAGUGGUAUUCCAACAAAACACCACACUUUCUGCAUGUAAACAAGCUUCUGAGCAAAACGCAGGACUUGUCCUGCGCUCUUGUGAUUUUGGGUAAAUUCCAUCGUUUAAGGGGUCCAAAAAAUAACAGUUUUUAACUCUUAUCAGAAUUUCUCGAGUACUCAAAAUCAACAAGACCUUCUCCAUUACACCCUCCGGUCACAAAUCUAAGCAAAAAUCAAUGUUUUAGGUUCAUUUAAUAAAUGAUGUAUGUGGUCUUUAUUGUAAACAACAUACAUAAUUUAUUGAAUGAAUCUAAAACAUGGAUUUUUGCUUAUAUUUUUUACCGAAGGGUGUAUUUAUUAGUAUCGGGUUGUUACAUUCUACCCUCAUUAAAAGAAUUUCGCCCCGAAAUUCAUACUUCACUUGAUUAAAAUAAAGAUUAUAUGUCUAACUUUCGAUUCGAAUUUUCCAGAUCAACUUAUAGUUCAUGCUUCCACAAUUACCUAAUUACUUCUCUUCAAUUUCAGAAACUUUGCUAUUGUUUGUUUGAUUCCUUUUAUGUUCAAGUUGUUUAACACUAUACUUCAAACUUUAGGUGUCAUCAACGCUCUUAUUACGUCAUGUUCAUAUUAUUCCUCGGUAGAAGGUAUGUAUUCAAUCUUCCUUACUCAAGGUCCUCUACAAGUACACCUUCAUACCAUUAGUUUAUUGUACUUCCCUUCCUAGUUGACCUGUCUUUUGGUGCUACAUUUACUCUGUCCUAAACUUACGCCCUCUUCUCUUGAACCCCUCACUUACGUGGGCAUAAGAGCGUGUGUAGGUACAUAACCCCCCACUAUCUCACCGGAGGUUGACGAUCAACCUCGUCGAAGUUAUAUGUGGAUCAACCCCUACAGGAGGCAAAUCCAAGCAGCUCAACCAUCCUCUUUGGUCCAAUCGCAUCAAUAACAAAAAAACAAAUCCAAUAAUCCUUUAAGUAAAUAGACCGAGAUCCAAAGGUAAUCCAUCCAUAACCGAAAAAAACAAAUCUUUAUAUUCUCCAACCAAAGCAAAAUAGAAUGUGGCGGCGGGAUAAGACAACAUGUAAUGUGCUUCGACAUGGAAUACAUCGAAGUUUAGCUGAAAUAAAGAAGAAGAAGAAGAAGAAGAAGAAGAAGAAGAAGAAGAAGAAGAAGAAGCAGGAGGAGGAGGAGUAAGAGAAGAGAGGAAGAGGAAAGCUCACAUUUUUCAUUGAGUUCUUAUAGGGAGGACCUUGGAGGUGAAAAUGGUGCAUCAUGUUCCGAAGCAUUUGGUUAUUUUCUUCGGGUAUGCGGUUGCCCCUUAGGACAUCAUUCCUUAGUCCCGAUAAUUC